rnacentral:rRNA from 1 species
UCGAGAAUCUUUCGCAAUGGGCGCAAGCCUGACGAAGCGACGCCGUGUGAGUGAUGAAGGCCUUCGGGUUGUAAAGCUCUUUCGCUAGGGAACAAGAGAGAAAAGCUAAUAAUUUUUCGAUUUGAGGGUACCUGGUAAAGAAGCACCGGCUAAUUCCGUGCCAGCAGCUGCGGUAAUACGGAAGGUGCAAGCAUUAAUCGGAAUUACUGGGCGUAAAGGGCGCGUAGGCGGAUUUGUAAGUCAGAUGUGAAAUACCGAGGCUUAACUUCGGUGCUGCAUUUGAAACUACAAAUCUAGAGGGUAGACGGAGAAAACGGAACUCCACAUGUAGCGGUGAAAUGCGUGGAUAUGUGGAAGAACACCGGUGGCGAAAGCGGUUUUCUAGUUUAUACCUGACGCUGAGGCGCGAGAGCAAGGGGAGCAAACA